rnacentral:rRNA from 1 species
UAGCAGUAGGGAAUCUUCGGCAAUGGGCGAAAGCCUGACCGAGCAUCGCCGCGUGAAUGAUGAAGGCCUUCGGGUUGCAAAAUUCUGUUAUAAGGGAAGAACGACUUUAGUAGGAAAUGGCUAGAGUGUGACGGUACCUUAUGAGAAAGCCACGGCUAACUACGUGCCAGCAGCCGCGGUAAUACGUAGGUGGCGAGCAUUAUCCGGAAUUAUUGGGCGUAAAGAGCGCGCAGGUGGUUGAUUAAGUCUGAUGUGAAAGCCCACGGCUUAACCGUGGAGGGUCAUUGGAAACUGGUCGACUUGAGUGCAGAAGAGGGAAGUGGAAUUCCAUGUGUAGCGGUGAAAUGCGUAGAGAUAUGGAGGAACACCAGUGGCGAAGGCGGCUUCCUGGUCUGUAACUGACACUGAGGCGCGAAAGCGUGGGGAGCAAACAGGAUUAGAUACCCUGGUAGUCCACGCCGUAAACGAUGAGUGCUAAGUGUUGGGGGUCGAACCUCAGUGCCGAAGUUAACGCAUUAAGCACUCCGCCUGGGGAGUACGGUCGCAAGACUGAAACUCAAAGGAAUUGACGG